GAAAGACGCGCAUUUAUCAUCAUCCCUAUUAGAUAUGUACAUUUGGCCACAUUUACAUGUGGCCUUUU
rnacentral:sRNA from 1 species